rnacentral:ncRNA from 1 species
AGAUAGAGGUCGCGAGCCUCAUGAGUCACCAGCGAGAGUCUUCAGCGGACGCCGACAGCUGGCAAAAGGGAUGCUCGCCGAAGUGAGACGUCUGGCUGGCGGCGUCUUGCUGGGCAUGUGUCGAAGAGGCACAUGACUGUCAUCUUAGGAUGGGGAGCUAUC